rnacentral:rRNA from 1 species
AUUGAACGCUGGCGGCAUGCCUUACACAUGCAAGUCGAACGGCAGCACGGGUGCUUGCACCUGGUGGCGAGUGGCGAACGGGUGAGUAAUACAUCGGAACGUACCUUAUCGUGGGGGAUAACGCAGCGAAAGCUGUGCUAAUACCGCAUACGCCCUGAGGGGGAAAGCGGGGGAUCGCAAGACCUCGCGCGAUUAGAGCGGCCGAUGCCUGAUUAGCGUGUUGGUGGGGAAAAAGCCCACCAAGGCGACGAACAGUAUCUGGUCGGAGAGGACGGCGAGCCACCCUGGGACUGGAGCACGGCCCAGACCCCUACGGGAGGAAGCAGUGGGGAAUUUUGGACAAUGGGGGCAACCCUGAUCCAGCAAUGCCGCGUGAGUGAAGCAGGCCUUCGGGUUGUAAAGCUCUUUUGUCAGGGAAGAAACACCGGCUCUAACACAGUCCGGGAAUGACGGUACCUGAAGAAUAAGCACCGGCUAACUACGUGCCAGCCGCCGCCGUAA